rnacentral:rRNA from 1 species
CAAAUUAUCCUCAUAAGUUAGACGAUAUGAAGAACCAUUGAGUUAUUAUUUCUUUAUUUAUUUAUAAUAAACAAGUUUCUCUUCUGUACUCACAAGGUAUAAAAUGAAAACCGAAUUUAUUAUUUUUAAUUUGAUCAAAUCAAAAAAAGAUGAGAUUUAAAGAGUAAAACUCCGGUGGUGUCACAAAAUCGGAGGCCCCGACUGUUUACUUAAAACACAGCUUUCUGCGACGAAUAAUAUCUUUGUAUAGAAAGCGAAUUUUGCCCAAUGCCAUUAAUAUAAAAUUGAUAAGCGCAUAGCGUAUUUAUUGAUUGAAGUUCUGGUCAAUGGCGGUCUUAUCUAUGAGGAUCCUAAGGUAGCAAAANUAAUUGUCCAUUAAAUGUGGUCCUGACUGAAUAAAGUAACGAUGGUCUCACUGUCUCUACAAGUAUCUCAGUGAAAUUGAAUUAGCCGUGCAGAUGCGGUUUAACUUCGGGUAGACGGGAAGACCCUAUGCAGCUUCUACUGA